UUUCCUACGGGUGGCUGCAGUGGGGAAUAUUGGACAAUGGGCGAAAGCCUGAUCCAGCAAUGCCGCGUGAGUGAUGAAGGCCUUAGGGUUGUAAAGCUCUUUUACCCGGGAAGAUAAUGACUGUACCGGGAGAAUAAGCCCCGGCUAACUCCGUGCCAGCAGCCGCGGUAAUACGGAGGGGGCUAGCGUUGUUCGGAAUUACUGGGCGUAAAGCGCACGUAGGCGGCUUUGUAAGUUAGAGGUGAAAGCCUGGGGCUCAACUCCAGAAUUGCCUUUAAGACUGCAUCGCUUGAACACGGGAGAGGUGAGUGGAAUUCCGAGUGUAGAGGUGAAAUUCGUAGAUAUUCGGAAGAACACCAGUGGCGAAGGCGGCUCACUGGACCGUUGUUGACGCUGAGGUGCGAAAGCGUGGGGAGCAAACAGGAUUAGAUACCCGAGUAGUCUA
rnacentral:rRNA from 1 species